rnacentral:rRNA from 1 species
AGUGAACGCUGGCGGUAGGCCUAACACAUGCAAGUCGAACGGCAGCACAGUAAGAGCUUGCUCUUACGGGUGGCGAGUGGCGGACGGGUGAGGAAUACAUCGGAAUCUACUUUUUCGUGGGGGAUAACGUAGGGAAACUUACGCUAAUACCGCAUACGACCUACGGGUGAAAGCAGGGGAUCUUCGGACCUUGCGCGAUUGAAUGAGCCGAUGUGGGAUUAGCUAGUUGGCGGGGUAAAGGCCCACCAAGGCGACGAUCCGUAGCUGGUCUGAGAGGAUGGUCGGCCACACUGGAACUGAGACACGGUCCAGACUCCUACGGGAGGCAGCAGUGGGGAAUAUUGGACAAUGGGCGCAAGCCUGAUCCAGCCAUACCGCGUGGGUGAAGAAGGCCUUCGGGUUGUAAAGCCCUUUUGUUGGGAAAGAAAAGCAGCAGGUUAAUACCCCGCUGUUCUGACGGUACCCAAAGAAUAAGCACCGGCUAACUUCGUG